UCUAUUGGUAGCGGUACUGAUUGCACACAGCUUAUGGAUGAUGACCGGGAUUUACCAAACAGCGCCGCCGCAACACAUGGACUAUAUUCUCAAAGUGCAUGGACACAUUCUGCCGCAUUAAGAAAAGCUGAAAGUAGUGCGAACGAAGGACGUUUGAAAUAGAAUAUAGCCAUGAACUGGCAAAAACUCUACGUUUGAUCUUCCUAAGGAGACUGACUACACUUUAGAUGCAAACGGCCGAUACAAAAUCCCCCACCAAAUGCUACGCGGCAGACGAGAGAGCGGCGACACGUGACGAGCACGUUAACAUGAUUAUCGUCCCGUUUUCCCACGCUGAUCCGGGCUAUGGAAUGACCUUUUAGAUGCCGAACCUGACACGUUGAGGUCAGCUGAAGGUGGUUCUGAGCGGCUGUUUGAUGCCGGACGAGGCGGUUACACACAACUAACCUGCCAUCGACCAACUUAUAGAGGGACACCAGUGGGUGGAGAAAAAUCUUGGCAUCAAGCCCGUCAAUGCCUUGAUAAACGACCCUUUCGGGUAUUCUUCCGGGGCGUCACUUCCGUUAGUCGUCUCAGACUACGAGGAGCGGCUUACCAACGCGAUCCGACAGGCGCGGGAAGCAUUGGCGUCCGCUCUCGGUCUCGUGCUCAUUAAUGGAUCUGUAAGCUCAACAAAUGCACUAAAACAAAGCGUCGACCAGGAGUGUCCGAGAUCUCUUCUGCUGUUGAACGAACUGAAAUUAAAGGGUGAAUAUUUAAAAAUCGUAGCUGCGAAUCCGGCUGAGCACGCGAGGACGUUGUAUGCGUAUGCAUUGCUCAGGGUAAUGUAGUGGUAACGGAUGAAGAAGGAAACAUAACGCAGUACCAGGCGUUCGAACCCACUCAUCCCACACAUAAUGGACUGAGUAUUUUGUCAUUUUCUGUACAACUGUUAACUUAAGGUCCAGACAUUUACAAUCUCAAAGUCAGCAACAGGCCAGAACGGCGCGGUCGAAUCAAGCGUUUUAAUUUUUGACGAAAACAACUAAAGCUCAAUGAAAUACAUAUGAAUUGAAAAAGAUUUGAUUGAAGUACAGUUUGAAGCUUGGUCGGGCAAUCUAGAGAGCUUAAACGCUAAGAAGACUGACAAAUAUACGGUGUUGAGAUCCAAGUUCUAUAAAUACAUCCCGGGAAAGAGCAGCGCCCACUUGUUCGAGCUUUAGGGUAAGGCCCAAGAGAUCGACGUUUUGUACGAAACAGCACCAAAGAUCAAAGUUACCAGUGAAAAGGUUUUCACGAAAGUCAGUUUGACCUACAUAUCCGGAUUUUUACAGAAAUUCUCCAUUUACAACGUGGAUGACGUCAAGGCGACGUCGGUGUUCAUCACGAAUAAAUCGACUUGAAUAUUGAGCCGUCGCUGGUGAAUACCGACAUCAUCAUGCGCCUGCAGACGGACGUAGAUAACGAAGACAUCUUCUUCAUCAUGCGCCUGCAGACGGACGCAGAUAACGGAGACAUUUUCUUCACCGACCAGAACGGAUUCACGUUGAUGGGCAGGCGAAAUAACCGACAACGUCCGAUAGAGACCAACUACUAUCCCUUGACAACGAUGGCAAUUCUAGAGGACAAGUGCUAGAGGGUUACUCAGCAUUCCGAGCAGCCACAUGGAGUUGCCGCCCUUUGCGACGGCUUGCUCUAGGUGAUGCUCAACCGGGACGACCGGAAGGGACUGGGGUAGUGGGUCACCGAGCGCGUGCUCACGCGGACCGAGUUCGCCAUACAGGUGGAGUACAAGGAGGUUACGGGUCCCAUCGUAGAGCCGCGUUUUACACACGCCACGCUGAAUAGCCUGGUCGUCUUCUGAACAAGUUGCUUGCCUUCUCCAUAGAACACUGGGCCGAAGAAUUCAACCGGAAGUUACUGCUACUUUAAUUGAAAUCUUUCCCAUGUGAUCUCACGAUUGCGGGAAUUAGUUUCAAACGAUCUCGAAUCACGUUCUUCACCGGAAGUCACCACAUUGCGCAUUUCCGGCGGAAAAUGUGCUAUGUUCGAUCUCGAAUGAUAAAAUAUUACUCUUGGAUUUUAUACGUGCCUUAGGUGUGAACCAGACACUUUUAGCGUGACUGAGACUUCGCUUUCGCACGUUAAGUCGUUGACGUUUAAUGAAGAUAUAACUCCCAAUUAUGGGGAGCUCAGAAGUUUUUUGAUAAAAUAAAAACCGAAGAAAAAGUAGUGUUUAUAUAACAUUUCGCCUCGUUCUGGGAAAACUGGGUUAAAUGCAUAUGCAUUAAGUGUCGUCCCAGAUUAGCACGUGCAGUCCGCCCUGGAUAAUCAGGGAUGACACUUUCCGCUGUGAUGGUAAUUUUUGUUUAAAAGAAGUAUCUUCUUAGCGAAAAUCCAGUUAAGGCACUGUCUAAUCUUAUCUGGGACGAGACUUUACGCUCAUGAAUUCAGAACCAGUUUUCCCAGAACGAGGCUUCCUUAUUGACGUGUUCAUUGCUUUCAUUAGUAAAACUAUUAUGUAUUGUUAUUUAUGUAGAAAUUCAAUUUUGAAUCAAAUCAAUAUUUAUUUAUUGUCGGUAUGAUAUACAAACAUUAUAAACAUAAGCUAUGAAUAGAUUUUGACCGACUUUAAAUGGUGUGAUUGUGAUUUGAAAAUCCGCUCAAUUAUAUAUUGCAUUCAUAAAACAUAUUUAUUUUGAAAAUUGUUUUUACGAUUUUGUAUACUUAAUGCUAUUGCCGGCAAAUACAAAUUUACAAUUAAUAUUUUGUUUAAAUCCUGCUGUUUGCGGUCUGCACUCCGAAGAGAAACAGUUCAAAGAUGCUAUAAUUAAUAUAAAUCACGCGCCUAUUUGAUUCGUUCAGCUGUAAAUGAAAGGCUGAUGUAAAGAAAGGGGGUGAAUCGCAUCAAAAUAUCUGACAGGACGUCUCACACACUGUGGCUAAUGCAUAAUACAAAUUAACAAAUACAUAAUUCUAUUAAUGCUGUGUGCUAUCUGUUAUUGUGUAAAAUAAUAACCAUAAAAUGCAUGAACAUUUUAACAUAUUUUAAAAUAAAUAUUUGACAUA